rnacentral:misc_RNA from 1 species
GGAGGUCGCGCCCGGCAAUUCGCCGCGGCCCUCGAUCUUGCGCAGCGCCGAGAUCAUCGCAUCGGGGUCUUUUGUGAGUUCGACGGAGCCCGCGUCGGCCAGCAGUUCGCGCGAGCGCGACAGGGCAAAGCGCACCACCAGCGACAGGCCCCAUGCGAGGCCGAUCAGGGCGAUCGCCAGAAGCACGAUGGCAAAUGCGCCGCCGCCCUUCUUGUCCCCGUCCGACGAGGAGGACGAUGACCGUCCACCGCCGCCAAAGCUCCAGUUGGAGUUGAAGAAGAUGCGGAA